rnacentral:rRNA from 1 species
UGCAAGUCGAACGGGGUUUAUUUAAGCUUGCUUUGAUAAGCCUAGUGGCGGACGGGUGAGUAACACGUGAGCAACCUGCCCUGAUGUGGGGGAUAGCCCGGGGAAACUCGGAUUAAUACCGCAUGUGAUCGCAAGAUUAAAGGUGGCGCAAGCUGCCGCAUCAGGAUGGGCUCGCGGCCUAUCAGUUUGUUGGUGAGGUAACGGCUCACCAAGACUACGACGGGUAGCUGGUCUGAGAGGACGACCAGUCACACUGGAACUGAGACACGGUCCAGACACCUACGGGUGGCAGCAGUCGAGAAUCAUUCGCAAUGGGGGAAACCCUGACGGUGCGACGCCGCGUGGAGGAUGAAGGCCCUAGGGUCGUAAACUCCUGUCAUCAAGGAGUAAGUCCUUAUAUAGUAACUGAUAUAAGGUUUGAUAGUACUUGAAGAGGAAGGGACGGCUAACUUCGUGCCAGCAGCCGCGGUAAUACGAAGGUCCCAAGCGUUGUUCGGAUUUACUGGGCGUAAAGCGUCUGUAGGCGGUGGGGUAAGUCAGAUGUGAAAUCCCAGGGCUCAACCCUGGAACUGCAUCCGAUACUGCCUCACUAGAGUAUUGGAGGGGAGUCUGGAAUUCUCGGUGUAGCAGUGAAAUGCGUAGAUAUCGAGAGGAACACUAGUGGCGAAGGCGAGACUCUGGACAAUAACUGACGCUGAGAGACGAAGGCCAGGGUAGCGAAAAGGAUUAGAUACCCUUGUAGUCCUGGCAGUAAACGGUGCACGCUUGGUGUAGGAGGAUUCGACCCCUUCUGUGCCGGAGCUAACGCGUUAAGCGUGCCGCCUGGGGAGUACGGUCGCAAGACUAAAACUCAAAGAAAUUGACGGGGACCCGCACAAGCGGUGGAGCAUGUGGCUUAAUUCGAUGCAACGCGAA